UACGUAGGGUGCAAGCGUUGUCCGGAAUUAUCGGGCGUAAAGAGCGCGUAGGCGGUUUGGCGAGUCGACUGUGAAAACCUACAGCUUAACUGUGGGCUUGCAGUCGAUACGGGCAGACUUGAGUUCGGUAGGGGAGACUGGAAUUCCUGGUGUAGCGGUGAAAUGCGCAGAUAUCAGGAGGAACACCGGUGGCGAAGGCGGGUCUCUGGGCCGAUACUGACGCUGAGGAGCGAAAGCGUGGGGAGCGAACAGG
rnacentral:rRNA from 1 species